rnacentral:rRNA from 1 species
CCUACGGGUGGCAGCAGUGAGGAAUAUUGGUCAAUGGACGAGAGUCUGAACCAGCCAAGUAGCGUGAAGGAUGACUGCCCUAUGGGUUGUAAACUUCUUUUAUAUGGGAAUAAAAUGUUCCACGUGUGGGAUUUUGUAUGUACCAUAUGACUAAGGAUCGGCUAACUCCGUGCCAGCAGCCGAGGUAAUACGGAGGAUCCGCGCGGUAUCCGGAUUUAUUGGGUUUAAAGGGAGGGAAGGGGGAUUGUUAAGUCAGUUGUGAAAGGUUGCGGCUCAACCGGAAAAUUGCAGUUGAAACUGGCAGUCUUGAGUACAGUAGAGGGAGGCGGAAUUCGUGGUGUAGCGGUGAAAUGCGUAGAUAUCACGAAGAACUCCGAUGGCGAAGGCAGUUCACUGGACUGCAACUGACACUGAGGCGCGAAAGUGUGGGUAUCAAACAGGAUUAGAUACCCUGGUAGUC